UACGGAGGGGGCGAGCGUUAUUCGGAAUUAUUGGGCGUAAAGGGCGCGUAGGCGGCUUGGUAAGUCAAAGGUGAAAUCCCUCGGCUCAACUGAGGAAUUGCCUUUGAAACUGCCUGGCUCGAGGCCGGGAGGGGGUAGCGGAAUUCCCAGUGUAGCGGUGAAAUGCGUAGAUAUUGGGAGGAACACCGGUGGCGUAGGCGGCUACCUGGACCGGUUCUGACGCUGAUGCGCGAAAGCGUGGGGAGCAAACAGG
rnacentral:rRNA from 1 species